rnacentral:piRNA from 1 species
AGCUCUUAUUAAUGAAAAUAUUUAACUGGG